rnacentral:tRNA from 1 species
GGGGGUUUAGCUCAGUUGGUAGAGCGUGUCGUUCGCAAUGACAAGGCCAGCGGUUCGAUUCCGCUAAUCUCCA